rnacentral:lncRNA from 1 species
AGAACCUCUGCAUUGGGCAAGAAAGCAUGCAGGUUGACACUUAUGAAGCACUCAUGUGCCAGGCAUGUGGCCGGUUGCCUCCAUUUCCAUUGUUUUAUAUGAUUGUGGUAGGCAGAAAAAUGCCCCUGCAAAGAUGUCCACAUCUUCAUCCCUGGAACAUGUGACUACGUUACCUUAUGAGGUAAAGGGACUUUGAAUGAUAUGAUUAAGUUAAGGAUCUUGAGAUAGGGAGAUUAUCUUGGAUUAUCCAGGUGGGCUCAAUGUAACCAUAAGGGUGGUUAUAAGAGGGAGGCAGGAGACCCAGCGUCAGAGAAGGAGAUGUGACAAUGGAAGCAGAGGCAGAAAAGGAGAUGUGGAAAUGUUACAUGGCUGGCUUUGAAGAUGGAGGAAGGGGCCACGAGCCAAGGAAUGCAGGCAGCCUAUAGAAGUUGAAAGAGACAAGAAAACAAAUUCUUCUCUACGGUCUCCAGAAGGAACACGGUCCUGCUGACACCUUGAUUUUAGCCCAGUGAGACCAUUUUGGACUUCUGACCUCCAGAACUGUAAGAUAAUAAAUAGGUGUGGUUUUAAGCCACUAUGUUUGUGGUAAUUUGUUAUAGCCACAACAGGAGACUAAUACAAUGACCUUCCUAACACCCCUACUAGCUAAGUAGCGCAUCGCUUUUGGUGUGAGGAAACUUAAGCUCAGAGAGGUUAAGCACCCUCAAGGUCACAUAGCUAACCUAGGAUUCAAAUCCAGUUCUGUGCCUGCAAGCCCACUAGAGCCUUGCCACUCAAAGCAGGGUCUGUGGACCGUGGCAGCAGUAUUACCAGCAACUUUUCAGAGAAGCAGCAUCUAAAGCCCCAUCCUAAAACUACUGAAUCAGAAUCUGCACUUAACUCAUGGGCACGACAAAGUUUGAGAAGCCUGGACCACACCCGCUUUAUCCUACGAUGCUCCCUGUUUUGGACAUUUCCCCCGUUUUGAAAAAUAAACACUUGUUCAAAGUGACUGAAGCACUGCCAGAGGGUCAGGACCCUUGUUGGAAAGAAUCCUCUUCUGGGGGAUUGGUUAAUUUGUUUUGAUCUAUGCAAAUAUCCAACUUUAAGCUGCAAAGGCUGAUGCCCAGAGCAGCCUCGUUCCCAGCAGCCAGGCCUCUAAGCUGUGCAUCAGCAAGCUCGUUCGAAGACCCACUGCACUCAGGCCAACUGCUGGGCCUUCUCCAGCAGCUAAGCCAACGGCGUAGAGGCUGUCUGAAUGAUGUGGAGUAUAGACCAGCACACACAUCACCUGGGAAGCUUAAUAAAAUGCGGAUUCUGCUUCAGAAGUCCUGGUAUUUUGCAUUUCUAAUACGCUCCCACCAGGUGAUGCUAUUGAUUGGUGGGGGUCCUCGAGCAGCAAGCUGUGGGCACUCACUCCUGAGACCACCAUCUCAUCAAGGUUUCUUCUCCAUUUAAACCUCCAAGCAAAGGCUUUCAAAAUCCCGUGGCUCAUCAGCCUCACCUAGGUGCUUUUCGACAAAGGGUGGACGUCCACGCGUUUGGAAACGACUGCUUGAAACCACAGAAGCAAAUACCUCCUCAACAAAUCUGCUCCACCUCAAGUCUGAUUUUGCAUGAACUCAGUGCCACUGCUGGAAACAUAAAAUGCCUUCCUCCUCGUCUUGCUAAGACUUCAGACACUGAGGAGGCAGGACCCUGAGAGGGUGGCUGAGCUGCCGAGGGACACACGCCAAGACAGCAGAGAGCCCUGAGAAACUUAGCAGAGGGCCACAGAGCUCCCCACUACAAGGUCACGGACAGGCCAACUCUGUCUCCUCCUUGCUCUCUGAUCCUGUGCCCUUAUCUUGUGACAGAUACUAUUAGUGUGACUUCCACCGCCCCUUGGAGGGGAGGGCAAAGUGCAGCAGCCUGCAGGGACAAUUUACUCCCCACAUAUGGUUGUAAAACACUGUAAAUGAAACUUCAAAGCCUUUGGGCAGCCACUGCCCGUGGAUCUGCCUUUCUCCAGAGCCGUCCUCAGCAGCCUGUGCAGUUCUGCUCAGAGGUGACCUCAGCGCCCGUCUCUACCCCCGCCCCUCCAAUCAGCACUCCCAUUAAGAAAGCGGCUUUUAUGACAUCACCGGUGAUUAAACCGACCUAAUUUCUCCCAGGCUGGCAGAGUCAAGAGCCUCAUUCAGUACAGAAACCUGCUCUAUGGGCCUCAGCUAAGCCACUUGAGAAAAAAAAAAAAGACCUGUAAUUUGUUCUGGGAGGAAAAGAAAAACGGUGUGCAGCUGCAGCUUGCCGCACGUGUGACGUGGAGCAGGAGAGACCCAGGCGUUCCACAGCCAGCCCCUCUCUCUGCUGGGGCCUGGGGUUCCGGAAAUGCUUGGUCCUUCGUGCGAUGGACGCCUGCUGAGCAGAGAGGUGGUUUCUGAGCUCCUGAGAGCUGACGUGGUAUCGUAGUCACCUUAGCAUCUCUAAUCUUUAGUGCCAGACUGGGUAUACGCAGGAUGAUCGUUUUGAAGGACAAAUCUGAUAGAACAGGGGAAUUCUUCAUGAUAGCAUGCUGAUUCAUUCUGCAAAGUAGAGCCUGAGCACCUCCUGUGUGCCUGGGGCUGAGGACGGAGUGGUGAACAAGACAGUGAAAACCCCCUCCUCAUGAAGCUUACCUUCCAAUGGCUGUCUUCGCAUUUGUGUUAAAAGGAGAGUGACGUGUUCCCAACUGAGAAACACAUGUAACAGAGCAUAAAUGAACUGCCCAAGGUCACCUUUCUAGUUGGUGUCCCAAGAAAUCAAUUUAGCCCAGAGAUCUCAUCACCACCAGGCCCUGUUGAAAACCAAGCGUUACGGCAUUAACUCAUUAUGGGCUUGAUGCGUGAAAAUCACCAUGCUGUUGUGUCUACUGAUACAGGCAUUACCUUCCAAAGCAUAUAUAAGGUCUUCAACUCAAGAGAAACUGUUACUCAAGCAAUUGGACUUGAAGAGCCUCAUCUGCACAUGGAUCUGGUUUAGAUGGUGAGAGUCUGGACUCUGAGCUCAUGCUGUGAUGAGAUGAGAGUUUGGGAGACCUUGAAAGCGGGCACAGUGACAAUGGGAAAGAUGUGAAAGCUCCUUUGGUAGAAGAAUCCUACUUGGAGGUUGCACUAAGAUGGCCCCUCUGUCUGUCAGACGUUCUGACACUUCCUGGGAAUCAUCACUAACCGUCCUCUGAGCAACAGUAACAGACAAUUACAUGUUGAAAACAUUUGUCCUAACGUAUCGUGUGGGUUUUACUUGGGCAUCUACACAGGUUUCGCCAUGAGAAACAGCUAGCUGCCCCAGCCAGUGAUUGGCAUAGAAUCCCAGGCUUGACUUGCAGCAGCCACGUCUGGUUCUGGUUUAGUGAGGGACCCAGCUUUAUGGGGCAAACCUAUCCGGUUGAAGCUUCUAUUGCUUUAACUCUUUUGGAUUCUCGUCACAUUUGGGCUGCUUGCAAAUCAAUGCCUGUGACCCCUUGGUUCCCAGGCAAGAGGGGGAUGGUUUAGCAAAGUCCACCACUCUUCCAGAAAACCAAUUCAAAAUGCACUAUACAUGUUCUCUUUUUUGUAGGACUACAAAUAAACAAGAAUACACAUUUGUAUUUUCACAAACAUAGGUAGGAUGAAAAAAAAAUUAUCAACAAAGGCGAGAAGGAAGUGGAGAAAUGGGAUAUGGCAGGAAGACUUCUUAGGUGUACCGUGCUUUAGAAUUCUGACUUUUGAAACACGUAAAUGAAUUACCCUUUAAAAUAAAUUUUUAAUAUAAAAAACAUACUAUCUGUUGAAUGAGGCCUCAGAGUCUCAUUUUUGCUUAGGAAACACACCCUGUGUAAUUUGUAAAAAGUUAUCUUAUUUUAAAUGCAUAUGUUACCCUAUGUUUAAAAAUGGUAGUAGUUUAUUUGUUUGGCAGAAAUGAGAGCCUGUAGAACGUGUUGGCUGUAAGGCCUCAGUGGGCAUUAAAUGCUGGAGUAGGAUUUGGAAGACCAUGACCUCUUAGUUUGGGCUUCAUAGGGAACCAGCUGAGUGGCUUGGAUGAAUCACUUUACCUCUCUGCUCCUCAUCUCUUCACCUGUAACACCAGCUUAAUUCUACCUCUUCACUGUGCUCCCAGGGUCCUCAUGAGGCUCAAAUGUGCAAACACUUUGAAAGCACCAUUGCCAUCAUUCCUAACAGUCCAGUUUUCAACUGAACAUGUACAGUUGGAGGCCAUUGUCCAGGUGGAGGCCAUUGCAAAAUAUACAAAAGCUAACUUGAGACAGGGUACCAUCUUGAGACUAUUUCCAUUUGUCUCCAUAGCACUGUCCACAGACUGGAGCCACUCAAAGGCUGGGCAUGGGUCUCCUCACUUUCCUACUCUCACUUGCACAAAGCAUUUUGCUAAGGGUUAGAGGAGUCGUCUAACAAAAAAGGUGAAAGCAAGGGAGGUAGAAAUUAAGUCUCUUCUUCUGGAUGCCAGAAAAAGAACUCUGGUUCUGCAAACAAGUAAGUUUUAGGAAUGCUUGGUGAUGACUUCAAAUUCUUAGGCUUCUAAUCCUCUCCCUUCCUUACUUUAAAAUACACACAAAAUUAAGGAGGAGUUAAGAAAGGUGGCAGGAUUUUUGAAAGAGGUUUCAAGAGUGAGACAGGAAAAACAAGAAAAUAAACCACACAACGUGUCCUGACAUGUUGAUAUGUUUCCCUUUAGUUUUUUUCUCCCCCUAGAAAAAUAUCUAGGAUUUUGUCUCCUCUUAACAAAAAUUUGGAUGGAAAGUUGGACAUAAUCCCCAGACCUGUAAAAGUUCUUUGUGCGGCCGGCACUGGAGUGCUUUUCUUACAUUCUCUCAAGAAGCCAACCUACCAUGUGGCGAGUUUGUGAAGCCAGGAAGGGAGGCGGUAAUCUGAGAGGAGCUGCAGGGCGGCUCCCCAGGGCACAGCAAGGCGGGGCCCCAGCUCCACCCGGCCGGCCUGGCCUGGGCCCCUCCUGUUGCCACAGGGGAAAAGGAGGAGAGACUUACAUUUAUAAAAGCAGGAACCUACCCGCUGUAGAGGUCCUAAAAUGCCGAGGGAGAAUUCCCAUUUGGGAGGUCAAAUCUAGGUCAGAGGAAUUACCUAGUCAUUUCUGAAAACCCUCUAAUUCAGGGGGUCAAGCCAGGCUGGCAACACCCCAAAUCAUUAACUAAAUCUAACUUGAUCUUUAAAAACUUAACCUAAGACUGUUUUGGUUCUUUGGCCUGAGGUAAUUUUUCUGAUGGCAUUUCUGUUACUUCCUGUUUGCGCCUGAGCUUUCCUUGCCCAGCUUCCUUUUCGGGGUUCAGGUUGCCUCGACUACCAUUUCCACUGAGAUGUAUGGAAAAGGGGCGUGUGUGUGUGUGUGUGUGUGUGUAUGCCUGUGUGUGUGUGUUGGGUUGGAAGGCAAAGAAAUAAUAGCAACUCACAUUAAAUUUGCAUGUUACAAAACACUCUUCUCAGACAUUCAUCCUUUCGUUUUCUUUCCACAACAACACUAGGAGAUAAGCAAUACCAAUAUGCCAACAUUACAGAUGAAGAAACUGAGGCUUAAAAAGGUUGACAUGUCCAAGGUCACACAUCAGAUAAAGGAGCAAGCCUGGAUCUGAGUCCCCAGAAUCUAAAAUUCUUUUCAUUUAUUUAACUCGUAGAGGAACUCUAAAUUUAAUUUAUUUGGCAGAACUCUAUUUUAGGGAGGAUUUAUUUAUUCAGUCUUUAUUACAGAGCUUAUUCCUGAAGUGUAAAGAAAGAUUCAGCUUAGGCCCUUCACUGGAGCAAUGGAAGAAUUCUUAAGGACCCACUAUUUCGGUUUUUGGCAACUCUUCUGCAGCCUUUCAACACGGCCAUCCCUGCGCCAGGCUGGGGCGGUCCCCGUUGCCGGACCCAGGGGUGCAUUGUCUGUGUCAGGCAGUAGGGGGAGCGUGUGUGCAAGACCAGGAAAGCUGCUCAGACUCAGGCAGGAAAUGUCUGCGACCACGUGUCCUUAGCAGGCCGUGUUGGAAAAGUAUUUUUUUGCUGCUUAGGUGCUUAGAUCUCCGGGCUUCUCUGCAAAGAUGUGUACUUACUGACUUGUAGGGUGGAAAAACCAGCCUAAGGGAGUUGUAGAAAGCGGUUGCUGAUGCCCACUGCUUUAAAGGGAGCAAAAGCGUCCACAUGGCCUCUGAGGAAGGACCCCAGGCUCUGGGCCCCUGCAGGUCAGAGAAGGCCCUUGAAGCUUUGCCUCUGUGUCGGCAGAAAAGACACAGAGGCCCAGACAGUGGGCCUUCCUGGCUCCAAGGAUGGCGCCACCUGCACCCAAAACCUGCCUGAGAGGGCAGGAAUUUGCACGGUCAGCAGCAUGAGAAUUAGAAUGUACACUGCAGGAGGGGAGAGCUGUCCAUCUGGUUUUUCCCUGUAUCUGAGCCUUUCAGAACGGUGCAGGGAGCUGGCUGGGCUCUCAAGUGCCUUUACGGGGCACUUGCUUGACAGAGCCUGUUAACUCAUGCUGCGUUUUGACAAGGACCUUGAAGUCAGAUGGAAAAGAAACAAACACUUCUGACAUUCCAUGAUCUUAAGCCCAGAGUAAAACUGGGGAGAAGCUUCUGAGGUGUGCACUAGUUCUGGAAUAACUCUGAGUGCUGACAGGUCACUUUUACUCUGGGAUGUAGAGUUCUCUCAUUUUCCUUUCUGGACCAAGAUUGUAGUUUCUUAACCUGGGAAAGAAAGUUGCAGCAGGGGGUAUACCCUGAGGGCUGGCUGGCAACAAUUUCCCUCCCAGUGAAAGAGAGAAGCAGCAAAAGUUGAUGUUUGCCUACACUUUGGAUUUGUAUAUAGAAGAUAAUUGAUCUUCUCUUUUUAAUGGUGGUUAUUUACAGAAAACACUGACUUGGUCUUGGUUCCAAACACACAGGAAAUUUGUACUCGAAUGUACCUGCUCCUGUAAUUUCUUUUUCCUUUUGGUUUAAAAUGUUGACUUUCUGUUUUUCUAGACCAGUAGAAAAGAUAUUAAAGUUUUCUGCAAAAUGACAGUGUAGUGGUACCUUCAUGCUGUUUUAAGGGUAAAAACUCUCAUCAUCGUGAAUAGGUUAAAAAGACAUAAUCAGGGUAACCAAGAUGGGAAUGGACAAAAUGGUGACCACUAGGAGUACAUGGCAACCAUGUUCUUUGGAUCCCCAUUCUUCUCAAGGUUUCCCCUAAUACAGUGAUACCUGUGUAUCACUUACAUUUAUUAUCACAGGGAUACCUAUGCAUCCCCAAUAUAAUGGUAUAUGGUGCAUAACUAUAUGUUGAGUUGUUAUAUGAUAAGGAAUUUAAAUAAUCUGUAAUGCUUCUUAUUUCUCAUGGCCCAAGACUCCAUCAGAAAAUUUACUUUACAUAUGCAAACACUCUAGCUCAAGUAAUUAAUUUAUUCGAUCACCCGUCAUUGAGUGCUCUUCACGUGCUAGGCAGAGGAAGCAAAGGUGAAGCCCUGUCCAUGAAUAACUCACAGUCUGGUAAGAGAGACCUCCCAUUCUAUUGCAGGCAUGUUUAAAUAUGUAAGAGAGCCUGGAGGGGGGAAUUCCACAUGGAUGAGGUGGUACUUGUCAGGAGCCCAGGCACUGGAGUCAGGCUGCUAGAAUUGAAUCCUGGCUCUACCAUUUCCUAGCUGUGUGACUGGGGCAAGUUUCUGAACUGAUCUGAGUCCCAGUUUCAACAUUUAUAUUAUAUGGGAAGAAUAAUGGUACCCAUGUCAUGGGUUUUUAUUUGUGAAGAUCCAGUGGAAUGCAUCAUAAUAAAUACUCAGUGUGUAUUGGUUGGUGAUGAUAACGAUGAUGGUGAUGGUGGAGGUGAAGUGAAGAUGAGGCAGAGGAGAUGGAGAAGGCUUCAUGGAGACCUGUAGUGUCAGGAAUUCAGUGGUUAAGGGAGGGAAAUGUGGAAGAGUGAAGAACAUUCCAGAUAGGGCUCAGGAAUGUGUUUUAACAAGCCUUCCAGGCGAUUCUAGUGCUCACUGAAGUUUAAGUGGUCAGCUGUGGAUGUUAAGUAAGGGAAUGAGAUGCUUAGAUCUUCAUUUUUAGAGAGAACACAUUGGUGGCUGUGUAAAGGAUGGAUUGGAGGUAGGGAGACAGGACGCAGGACAACAGGUUAGGAGCCUGGAGCCUAAGUGAAAGAUGACAGGGGCUCGAGUUCUGGUCAUGGUGGUGGGCACAUGUAGAAAGGGAAAAAUGCAUCAUGUGUGAUAGUGGUGAAACAAAGGUCAUGGUAAAGGGGAGACCUAGAACACAUUAAAGUGUAGGGUCGACCAGAUUUGUUAAUUGGAUUUAGGGGUGAGGAAGAGCAGGAGGCAAGGGUGAGUCCAGGGAUGGUGAACACAGGGCUUUUAAUACCAAUGACUAAAUGGUGCCUCUGUGGUCUUGCUGAGACCGUUCAUUUGCCCCUCCCUCUCCCUCCUUCAUCACUGCCAAGGUGACUGACAGCAUGGAUAGGCAUCCAUGCAGGAGGUCUGGCUCCCCUCUGGAAUGCACCGCUCUCUCCAACCACAGCCAUCACCUCCCCCAUCACGCCCCCCACGGCUGAGGGAGUCAUUCCACCAGCCGUGGUUACUGCCACAUAGGCUGAUGAGUCACUCUCCCAGAACAGCUGGUGGCCAAUGUUCUUCUCUUCCACAGUUUGGCAGCACUUCCAGGACCUGCCCCUACCCUCCAAAAAAGCAUUUUGACCCACCCUUUAGUGCAAGCUCUCUUAGCAGAGCUCGCCACCCACUUCUCCAGGAUCAGAGGAUCUCUCCUCCAAAAUUAGACUCAAAUUAUUGCUCUGUCUACAUUUUAACUCAGAUUAUUAACUCGUUAUUACUUUGUUACUGCCACGUCUGAAGUAGAAAGAUUGUCAGAGGCAGGCAGUAGUGAUUCCUGUAAGAAUGACACUUCUUUCCCUGAAAGCUGUCUUCUUCAAAGUAUAGUCUGUGUAACACCUUCUGUAUCAAAAUUAUUUGAAGUUUUGGUCAAAAUGCAGAUUCCUGAGUUCUCCCAUAGACCUCCUGAAUACUGGGGUUGGAGCCUAAGGUUAGAAAUCAGGGAAUUUAUGUUUUUAAAAAGCAUCCCCAAGUAAGUCUUAAAUUACCUACUGAAAAGUGACAGUGGUGGCACUAGAAUUCCUUUUGUAAUGCUUCUGACCCACUGUGCAGCUAGGAUGAACUCACAGUCCUGUGGGCCUUGCCAGCUUGCUUGGAGGAAGGCCGUGCAGCCUCUCCUGGGAGAGGACACCAUUCUAGAGCCUCCCAGAUCAGCACUAUUGCUGUUCUGGUCAUUUCCUCGAGGCAGUAUGGGCAGCGUGCAAAUUAAGCACAGGCACGUAAAACGAGUCUAACCUAUCUGUUUAAAAAGACAAAUUAAACGCGUUCUCAUAUUCAAAGUAAUAGUGUUGGGUUACAUGACAAUAUUCCUUUUUCCAUCGACAAGUUAAACGUGCUCCCAAAUUCCAAGUAGUAGUAUCAACUUACCACCCACAGAACAUUUUUUGAUUGUUUUUCUUGGUUGGAAUAAUGGAUUUCUCCUAAGUGAAAUCCUCUCUCACCUUUUCCUUUUAUGCCCAAAGACUGACCAAGGUUGGCAAAGCAAUCUUGCUGGUGGAGCUAAGUGGGAUGCUGUGCAAAGUUCACUGAGCCCCUGGUGACAUUCCAGGAGGGCACCAACCCCAGUGUGCUUUGUACUUUGAGGAACACAGAAAAGCAAUAGGUCCAUGGACACAUAGAUCCAAACAGGAUUCUGAAAAAUAAAUUAGAGGGUUCUGGUUAAUUGGAUUUGUUUUCCUUGUUCAGCAAGUAUUCACUGAGGCCAGAACACAGCAUUCAGUUAAGGGCUGAGGGGAUAAAAGGUGGAAAAGCCAUGAUCCACGCAUUGCAGAGCGUACGGUAUGGCUGGCAAGAUGAGACAUGCGCUUCAAAUUAAAUACCAAUACACGGCAGUAAAUGUUAAUAAGUGGUCGGACAUCAAAUGCUGGCACCACUCAGAAGAUAGAGAGAGAGCUCUCCCAGGGCUGGAAUUCAAGCAGGGCCUAAAGCUGCUCUGAAAACCUGUGGGAGAUGGGGAGGGUCAGAGAAGAAGCCUAGGUGGAGACCUAGGGAGCAAAAGGCACAGCACUGGGAAGAGAGAGUUGGUGUUGGGGACAGUCAGUGGAUGGGUCUGGAGGAAGCCUGGGUCUAGGGUUGGAAACGGUGAAAGAUAAAGUUCAAGCUUCAUUUCUAAACAUUUACCAAAUACUCAUAGUCUGUCAGGCACUGUGUUCAGAACUUGAAUGACAUUUUCUUGUUUAAAUCAUACAACAAUAUUGAGGGGUCAGUAUUAUCCCAUGUUCCAUUUUAACAUGAGGAGAUUGGGGCUCAGAAAGGAUCAUAACUAGCCCAAAGUCACACAGCUAGUAGAUGAAGAAGCCAAGAGGCAAACCCAGGUUGACUUACCUCCAAAGUCUGUGCGUUUUGGGAGGCUCUUUUUGGCCUUUAUCCACUUCUCCAAAUCAUAUUGCUGCUUGCAAGAGAGGCCCAGCAGGGAGAAUAAAGUGAGGUCAGGAGGCUGAGUGCUCCAUCCUGUUCAUGUGGCCUGUAGCCUCUGCCUGGCAAAGGCAGUGUUUCUUGUCCCUAGGCUUCUUUCUUCUUACUCUUCUACCAUCUUAAGUGUGCUGCCUCCUGGACCAAAAGGGCUGCUUGAGCUCUAGCCAUCCCUUCCACGUUCUAACCAGCAAGAAAAAGAAAAGGGCAAGAAGGCAAUUCUUUUUCAAUUUAAGGACCUUCCCUAGAAGUUGACCAUGAUGUUUCCUUGUGUAACUCCUCGGCCACGAUUUAGUCAAAUGAAACAACUAGCUGCGGGGAUACUCAAAUGCGUAGUCUUUAUUUCAGGCUGCCAUGUGUCCAGGUAAAAAUCCAUUACUAGAAAAGAAAGGGAAUAGAUAUUUAGGUGGACUUGCAGCAUUCUUUGCCACAAGCCUACUAACUUAUUUGAUCCUUAUUAUCAUAUUAUCCUGUGAGUUGAGCAUGAUUAAUAUCCUCAUUUUAUAUUAAAGAAAUUGAGGCUCAGAGACAUUAACUUGUCUAAGGUCACACAGCUAUUAAGAAAGGAGUUGGGACAGAAGGGUGCUCAGCUGAUGCCCAGCCUGUAUGACCCCAUGACGCAGCAUGGAGAAACUAGAUUGUACAUUCAUCUUGUCUAACUACAAAUGUUUUUUUCUCUUUAUUUUUCCUCGCUUGGAUGUAGGCAUACCCUACAUACCUUAAUUCAGCUGAGAAAGAGUUAACAUUUUUCAAAAUAAGUGUGGCUAGGAAACCAAGGAGAGAAAGAAACCACAAGGUAACGAAAUGGCUGGGCGGGGAAGCACAGAUGGAGUGUCCUGACAUAACUGACGCCCAGCCAAGGACUGACCCGGCGGGGACAGCCCAGAGGACGUGCAGGCUCCAUUUGGAGGGCGCACAGGCCUCUGUGCCUUACCUGGCCUCCAACCAGUUGUCCUUGAACCUGCCUGAGGCAUAUUCAUCAGCUACAUGUUCCCUGGAGCUUGAUGAGUUAUUUGGCUUUGAUCUAGGCUGGCGUCUGGGCCUCCCCUCACUGUCACUCCGUGCUCUUGCUGAAUGCUGCUGCCUCUACCUGCUUAUAAACCUGGGGUCCUAGUGAACCACCACCAGCUCUGUGUGCAGGCCAAGGAGAAACCUCUGGCUUGCACCUAAUUAGCAUAGCAAAGGUGACUGACACACCUCAGCCUAAUGCCUGUUCAAGACACAGGCCAGCUUUCUCCCCUCUCAGGUUACCUCCUCCUUCGCCAGGUGCUUCUGCAGAUGGUUGGGGCAUGCCAUCUCCAACCUGGGGAAUGAUUAACCAGAGAAAAGAGCCUCUUAGUCCAUGUGGGUGUGAUGAUUUCUGUAAAGGGCUGCCUCUCGCACAGCCGGAUAGCACUUUUGUUUGUGAAUGAUUUUCCCUUUGUCUCUCACUCUCUCUGUCUUCCUUCCCUUCUCCCUCCCGUCUGCCCACUCUUUGCCCUCUCCUUUCCCUCCCUCCCUCCCUCUCUCUCUCUCUUUCUUCCUCUGUUUCGUACAGUGUUUGUGUGUGUCUAGAGGAAGCAGACAACACCUGCACACAGUCUAGAAUGGGGUUCUGUGUUCAUUGUGAUGCCCAGCAGGAGCUCUUCACCUGGUCUGGGAGAAGAGAGCGUGUUCCGAAAAUGCUCCCUGGAGGACAUGGCACCAGGGCCCCAAAACAAGUAGGUAUGGAGACAAGAAAAGUCUUCUGAAAACAGAAUGAUUCGUUCUCUGGCUCCACCUGCAAACUGCCAGGCUCUUUUCCUGUGUCUAGGAGUCACCACCCUUCCACAAAGAAAUAAACAGCCUCUUCAAGGCAGGAAAGCCAUCUCAAGCAGAUAGAGGCCUCCGGUUCUCUCCAACCUGCCUCCUGGUUAGCUGUAAGAUUCAUGGUUUGCUUGAGAAAUGAAGGACAUGGGAUUUUGUGCAGCUGUUUGUCUCUCUGUAGAAGUUUUAGGCUUUUCUGGGGAGGAAAUAUUCUGGAAUGAACCCAGCUCUUCCACAUCCUUGUUCAGGCCUUUUGGACUGAGAAAGUCUUGGCCUGGACAGUACACCUUCCACACACAGACUCAAAUAACUUUAUGAGGCCCAGCCCCAUAUAACCCUAAAUGUGAAACAAUAAAGUACUGCUGACUUCCUCCUCCUCCUGUGUACACAGCCGUUACCCAGAUUGGGUGUCUAUCUGUCUGCUGUGAUGAAAGAAUAGAUGCUUUGUUCUGCCCUCCCUGCUGGAAUGACUUUUAUCCACAUUCACUUGUGAAGGCCCAGGACACGAGGGACCUUGUUCAUUUCCAGGGUUUACACUAGAAUCCUGAAUUCAACACUCAGAAGAGAUGUCACUGAUUAUAUGAGUAGUUGGAAUCUUUUCUCAUUAUGAAGUGUGUCAGGAAACAAAAAACAAAACUAGUGUCUGCCGUAUAGCCGGAAAGAGCCACCAAUGUGUCACUCCCCUGCCAAAUUGGGCUUCUUUCUGGAAGAUAGGGUACGUUCCCACAUCCUACCACGCAGUCUCUAAGAAGUUUUGCGAGGCUGGGAGAAGAGCGAAUGACAAGGCUUUCCUUAUCCAAUCAUCCAGGUAAACUCAUUGCUCCUCAUUUUAAAAUAACAGCUUAAAAAGAUGUUUUAAACCAUAACUUUAAAACAAAAUCUGACCACCACAAAGGAUUUCAUGUUAGGUCAGUAGAAGUUAAUUAUUCCACUGAGCCACAAUUGUCUUAAGCACUUUUUUUUUUCAUUUAACAGAUGAUUUUUAAGCAUAGAUCAUAUAAAUAGAUUUAUAUUGUUCCCUGCUGGGAAUGAUAAGAUAUACAAGACCUGGGCCUUGGCCUUAAAAGCUAACAGUAUGGUAAUCCUAAUGGCUACUAAUCACUGAGCAGGACUCUUGUGCCAAGCACUUCAGCUACCCUCACAACGGCUGGAAGCUCCAUCUUUAUUAGCAGCAAACCGAGGCUGGAAGAAACUGGGUACCUGUUCCAGGUCCAAGAGCUGGCAGAUUACAAGAGCUGGACUUCAAAUCCAGGUCCGGGGCACCCCGAAACUCAGGCCGUUUCCCACGAUUCCAUCCUGCCUCUCGGUUUACAGGGGAGGCUGCUCAGUCAGGGUCUUAUCAGGAGACAGAAACCACGGCCCUUAUUUGAAGCUGUUCACUAGGUAACCGAAAGGGCAAAACGAGAACUCUUAAGGUAUCAUGGAGGGAGCAACAGCAGGAAGCAGCUACAAUGCCAGGGCUGAGGAAACAAAUGCAAGAGGUUGCAAUUAAUAGAAUUUAGAAAUUGAGAGGACAGGCCCCGUGGAACUGAAACUUGGCCCUCUGAAGACUGGAUAUGCUUGCUGGUGCUGGUGUCUCUGAGGUCAAAGGAGUCUGGGGCCCAGACUCUGAGAAGCAAGGUGGUAGUGUCUUGGAGGUUGAUGCCAAAAAGUGGGUUCUAAGUGUUUGGCAAACUGCAAACUGGAUUCAGCUACUGUUAUGGGAAGGAACUGCCACUACUGGAGUGAGGAAGCAUUGCUGGGGUGACAUUCCCAGGACUAGGAAGCACACAGGAAGAGCAGUCUGUUCUUCCUCCCUUGGCCUCACAGCCUCUUCACCCUCCUGUCAGCAGAGCCUUACGUGGAGCCAGCUGGCUGAGCAGAAAAAUAGUUUGCAGGGUCCCAACUAUAGCAUCACAAAACAGAGUAGAGAAGGGCGGGCUUCAAAUUGAAAGAUAAUAACUGGCCCAGGAGGAAAGAUACGGAUAUAAGAAGACAUCAUCGUAGGUACUGUAUGAUCAUGUCUCUGAUGACCCUACGUAUUGUAAAUGCUUUAAGAUCGAGAAGCCAGUUAAUGGUUACGUAUAAGGAUCUUGCUACUAGGCAUGGAUAACCUUGGGGGCAGGAGCCAUGUCCUCUUCAUGCCUCCAUCCCCAACACCUUCCUGGCAAUCAAAGAUACCCAGCAAGGGCUGGUUAAACAAAGAAACAACCCUACUGUGAUAAGCUGUUAUAAGACUAUAUGUAUUUUGCUGCUGGAGUUUCGAGGGCCAGUUCUGAACCCUGGAGGCUGUUCUUAGCCUGACCAAGCCUCAGAAUUGUGGAGGAUAAGAGGGAUUGGUUACUCUCAGUGAGAGCAGAUUAUAGUGGUCCUUGCUAAGGAAUGACAGAGUUAGGGUCUGCCCUGCCCUAGGGAGAGCUGGUGAGGCUCUUCCAGUGUGGCCACGAGGAAGGAGUAGUCAUGCUAAGGAUAGCUUCUCUCAGUGGUGUGUUUCUACUCCAUGAUGUGUGGCCCUGCCUACAACACCAGAACCAUCUUUUUCUCUCUGGUUCCUGUCCCUCCCUCGUGUCUUGCUAUUCUUAGCCCUUGGAACAUGUGUGUUUGCCUGAAGUCAUGGACACGCACUUCCGUAAUCACAGCACAGGCUUAGAGAUCUGGAAUGGAGCUGGAGUUGAGAAUCUGGGCCCUGAAGUUCCUUCUUUAAUAACCACCUUGGAUGAUGCAUGAAUUCCUGAGAGCCCAGCACAUCAUCUCUGUGUCAGAGAGCUGGAAGGUGACUCUGAGGUCCCCUGAUUCAAUGCCCUCAUUUUACAGACUCAGAGGUGGAGACUAACCGUCUGUCUUAAACUCUACAGCUGGUAGAGUCCAGAGUUUUUGCACACUGCCCCAAGGCUCCCUGCUCCACUUUCCAGCACGUUUCUCAAUUGAAUACAAACAGUUGAGUAGAACUUAGUUGAUGCAAGGCACAGAGCUUUUGUACAUUGGAUACAGGGUCCUGAGUUGAGUUAAAUUAAAUGUUUUCUUUUGGAAAAUAUUUAAGCAUUCUGGAUUAGUUCCAUCUUAAAGAUUUUAUUUACUAUAACAUAACACAACAUGAUAUAGUAUAGUAUAGUAGAAUAUUUUGUUCUAAAUAUAAUCGUUAAAUAGUGC